rnacentral:rRNA from 1 species
CACGUAGGGCGCGAGCGUUGUCCGGAAUUAUUGGGCGUAAAGAGCUCGUAGGCGGCCUGUUGCGUCCGCUGUGAAAGCCCGGGGCUUAACCCCGGGUCGGCAGUGGAUACGGGCAGGCUAGAGGUAGGUAGGGGAGAAUGGAAUUCCCGGUGUAGCGGUGAAAUGCGCAGAUAUCGGGAGGAACACCGGUGGCGAAGGCGGUUCUCUGGGCCUUACCUGACGCUGAGGAGCGAAAGCGUGGGAGC